AGAUUGAACGCUGGCGGAAUGCUUUACACAUGCAAGUCGAGCGGCAGCGCGGGGCAACCUGGCGGCGAGCGGCGAACGGGUGAGUAAUGCAUCGGAACAUGUCCAUGUCGUGGGGGAUAGCCCGGCGAAAGCCGGAUUAAUACCGCAUACGCCCGAGAGGGGAAAGUGGGGGACCGCAAGGCCUCACGCGAUUGGGUUGGCCGAUGUCCGAUUAGCUAGUUGGCGGGGUAAGAGCCCACCAAGGCGAUGAUCGGUAGCUGGUCUGAGAGGAUGAUCAGCCACACUGGGACUGAGACACGGCCCAGACUCCUACGGGAGGCAGCAGUGGGGAAUUUUGGACAAUGGGGGAAACCCUGAUCCAGCCAUUCCGCGUGAGUGAAGAAGGCCUUCGGGUUGUAAAGCUCUUUUGUCCGGAGCGAAACGGCGAGCGUGAACAUCGCUCGCUACUGACGGUACCGGAAGAAUAAGCACCGGCUAACCACGUGCCAGCAGCCGCGGUAAUACGUAGGGUGCGAGCGUUAAUCGGAAUUACUGGGCGUAAAGCGUGCGCAGGCGGUUUUGUAAGCCAGAUGUGAAAUCCCCGGGCUUAACCUGGGAAUGGCAUUUGGGACUGCAAGGCUUGAGUGCGGCAGAGGAGACUGGAAUUCCUGGUGUAGCAGUGAAAUGCGUAGAUAUCAGGAGGAAUACCGAUGGCGAAGGCAGGUCUCUGGGCUGACACUGACGCUCAUGCACGAAAGCGUGGGGAGCAAACAGGAUUAGAUACCCUGGUAGUCCACGCCCUAAACGAUGUCGACUGGUUGUUGGGGGUUUGACACUCUCAGUAACGAAGCUAACGCGUGAAGUCGACCGCCUGGGGAGUACGGCCGCAAGGUAAAACUCAAAG
rnacentral:rRNA from 1 species